rnacentral:rRNA from 1 species
UACAGAGGGUGCGAGCGUUAAUCGAAGUUACUGGGCGUAAAGGGCGCGUAGGCGGUCAUAAGAGUGGAAUGUGAAAGCCCUGGGCUUAACCUAGGAAGUGCAUACCAAACGUUGUGACUGGAGUAUGAGAGAGGGUGGCGGAAUUUCCGGUGUAGCGGUGAAAUGCGUAGAGAUCGGAAGGAACGUCAAUGGCGAAGGCAGCCACCUGGCUCAAUACUGACGCUGAGGCGCGAAAGCGUGGGGAGCAAACAGG